UGUGGAAAUAAACUAGAGUUUUAUCUUUACAACAAAGGUCAAACUUUAUAUUUACUCCAUAAGGGUCAAUAACAGCAUUCAUUUCAAUUUGGAGAUGUCA